rnacentral:rRNA from 1 species
CAAUAGCGUAUAUUAAAGUUGUUGCGGUAAAAAAGCUCGUAGUUGGAUUUCUACCGAAGAUAGCCGGUCGGGUCUUCGACCUUGUAUCUGGUUUUGUCUUUGGUAUCCUCAUAGGGAACGUUUCUGCGCUUUAUUGCGUGGUGCGGUAUAUAUGACUUUUACUUUGAGGAAAUUAGAGUGUUCACGGCAGGCAAACGCCUUGAAUAUAUUAGCAUGGAAUAAUAACAUAGGAUCUUCGUCCUAUUUUGUUGGUUUCUAGGGCUAAGAUAAUGAUUAAUAGGGAUAAUUGGGGGCAUCUGUAUCAACGCGUCAGAGGUGGAAUUCUUGGAUUGCGUUGCGACAAACUACUGCGAAAGCAUUUGCCAAGGAUGUUUUCAUUGA